rnacentral:RNase_P_RNA from 1 species
AGAGUCGCCCGGAUCACCGCGUUGUAACUAGUUUUCUAGUGACACCGAGGAAAGUCCGGACUCCGAAGAGCAAAGUGGUGGCUAACAGCCACCCGGAGCAAUCCGCGGGAUAAGUGCCACAGAAAAUAAACCGCCGUUAGCAAUAACGGUAAGGAUGAAACGGUGGUGUAAGAGACCACCAGCAAUUGCAGUGAUGUGAUUGGCUAGGUAAACCCCACUUGGAGCAAGACCAAAAAGAUGGCGCUUGAGAGCUGCUCG